GGGUGAGUAACGCGUAUGCAACCUGCCCUUCACAGGGGGAUAACCGGGAGAAAUUCCGACUAAUACCGCAUACGUCCUCCGGGGGCAUCCCUGGGGGAUGAAAGAGUUAUCGGUGAAGGAUGGGCAUGCGUGAUAUUAGGUAGUUGGCGGGGCAACGGCCCACCAAGCCCACGAUAUCUAGGGGUUCUGAGAGGAAGGUCCCCCACAUUGGUACUGAGACACGGACCAAACUCCUACGGGAGGCAGCAGUGAGGAAUAUUGGUCAAUGGACGAGAGUCUGAACCAGCCAAGUCGCGUGAAGGAAGACGGAUCUAUGGUUUGUAAACUUCUUUAGUGCGGGAACAAAGCGGCGUCGAGACGCCUGAUGAGUGUACCGCAAGAAUAAGCAUCGGCUAACUCCGUGCCAGCAGCCGCGGUAAUACGGAGGAUGCGAGCGUUAUCCGGAUUUAUUGGGUUUAAAGGGAGCGCAGGCUGCGAGGCAAGUCAGCGGUCAAAUGUCGGGGCUCAACCCCGGCCUGCCGUUGAAACUGUCCUGCUAGAGUUCGAGUGAGGUAUGCGGAAUGCGUUGUGUAGCGGUGAAAUGCAUAGAUAUGACGCAGAACUCCGAUUGCGAAGGCAGCAUACCAACUCGCGACUGACGCUGAGGCUCGAAGGCGUGGGUAUCGAACAGGAUUAGAUACCCUGGUAGUCCACGCAGUAAACGAUGAAUACUAACUGUUCGGAGGGC
rnacentral:rRNA from 1 species